UUUUUUUUUUUUUUGAGACGGAGUCCCGCUCUGUCGCCCUGGCUGGAGUGCAGAGGCACCAUCUCGGCUCACUCCAACCACCGUCUCCCGGGUUCAUGCGAUUCUCCUGCCUCGGCCUCUGGAGUAGCUGGGACUACAGGUGCGUGUCACCACGCUCAGCUAAUUUUUAUAUUUUUAGUAGAGACGGGGUUUCACCAUGUUGGCCAGGAUGGUCUCAAUCUCUUGACCUCGUCAUCUGCCUGUCUUGGCCUCCCAAAGUGCUGGGAUUACAGGCAUGAGCCACAGUGCCCGGCUCCCUUGCUCUUCUUUGCCCUCAUCUCUUUGGGCCCUCCUCCUUGCCUCUGCCCUCUCCUAUCUUAAUACCCCUUCCCUUCCUUAACCUCUCAGCAUUAGGCUGGCAACAUUUCUCAGGGUGAGGAUUUGUCUUUGUUUAUUUCCGUAGUAGCCGUACCCAAGCAAUGCCUGGUCACCAUAAGUAGAGUUAAAUCGUCUCUCAAAAAAACAAAACAAAAAACGAACUACAUUGAGUGGGAAAGGCAAUACAUAUAUCAACUUUGGUUUCGGUAUCACUUCAUGGCGUCAUUCUUCUUUCACGUAUAACUUUUCAUUUGAUCCUUAAAAUAAUCCUGUGAAAAAGGCAGGAAUUCUCAGUAAUUGGCCGGGCAUGGUGGCUCACACCUGUAAUCCCAGCACUUUGGGAGGCUGAGAGGGGUGGAUCCCCUGAGGUCAGGAGUUCAAGACCAGCCUGGCCAACACGGUGAAACCCGGUCUCUACUAAAAAUACACAAAUUAGCUGGACUUCAAACUAAAGCAAAUUUUAACAUUUGGGUGAACAUCUGGGCAACAUAUAUUCAGGUUUUAAAUAUUUUUGCAUUAAAACAAAAACUGUUUAAAAAAAAGAAAAAGAGGACAGGCGCGGUGGCUCACUCCUGUAAUCCCAGCAUUUUGGGAGGCCGAGGAGGGCGGGUCACCUAAAGUCAGGAGUUCGAGACCAGCCUGGCCAACAUGGCAAAACCUCCAUCUCUACUAAAAAUACAAAAAUUAGCCCGGCGUGGUGGUGGGCACCUGUGGUCCCAGCUACUCGGGAGGCUGAGGCAGGAGAAUCACUUGAACCCGGGAGGUAGAGGUUGCGGUCAGCCAAGAUCGUGCCACUGCAUUCCAGCCUGCGUGACAGAUCAAGACUCCAUCUCAUAAAAAGAAAGAGGAAGGAAGGAAGGAAGGGAAAGAAAGAAAGGGAAGGAAGGAAAAAGGAAGGAAAGAAAAAGAAAGAAAAGAAAAAGAAAGAGAGAAAGAAAGAAAGAGAAAGAGAGAGAGAAAGAAAGAAAUGCUGUUACCUAAGUCAGUGGCUUUCAACCUUUAAUGUGUAUCAGAAUCACCGGGAGGGCUUUUCUAAAGCACAGAUUACUAUGUCUCACCCCUCAGUUUCUUCAGUUUCUCAUUCAAUAGGUCUGGGGUGGGGCCCAAGACUUUAUCCCAGGUGAUCAGUGCUGCUAGAUGAGAGGCUACAUUUUGAGAACAACUGAUUCAGACAAUGGACGUGUUUUCUCCCCCACUCCCUUUCUUUCUUUAUCUUCAAAUUUUUGAUAUCUCCUUCUUUAGUGGAUCUUGGUGAGGAUCAGAUAGAUUCAUCAGCAUUGCCUUUAAAAUUAAAAAAAAAAAAAUCAGUGAUACUUGAAAUAGCAAUGCUGAAAAUCACAGGUCAGAUUUAAAAGGGAAAAGGAAACAUCUUGAGCAUUACAACCUCUAUUUCUUACCUGGACAUCUUCACAAAUGUUAUUCUUGCCACUUCCUCCCUGCCCUCAACCCUUUUACUCUGUAUCUCAGUAGGAUGCCAAUCAUUCUGCCCUUUAUUCAGAGUCCGACACAAGCCCCAACGUCCAUAGCCAAGUUUUCCUUGGUUUCCCAGCAGCCAGUGACUCCUGUAGCAUUAGGAUUCCUAUAGUAGUUAUUGUCUACAUUUCUCAGCAUAUUGAAUAUGUACUGCCUCUUACUGUUGGACUGUUUAUUCUUAAAUGUGUACAGGUACGGAUUUAUGUCGUCU
ensembl:lncRNA